rnacentral:rRNA from 1 species
GUAAGGUGAUAUGAACCGUUAUAACCGGCGAUUUCCGAAUGGGGAAACCCAGUGUGUUUCGACACACUAUCAUUAACUGAAUCCAUAGGUUAAUGAGGCGAACCGGGGGAACUGAAACAUCUAAGUACCCCGAGGAAAAGAAAUCAACCGAGAUUCCCCCAGUAGCGGCGAGCGAACGGGGAGCAGCCCAGAGCCUGAAUCAGUAUGUGUGUUAGUGGAAGCGUCUGGAAAGGCGCGCGAUACAGGGUGACAGCCCCGUACACAAAAAUGCACAUGCUGUGAGCUCGAUGAGUAGGGCGGGACACGUGGUAUCCUGUCUGAAUAUGGGGGGACCAUCCUCCAAGGCUAAAUACUCCUGACUGACCGAUAGUGAACCAGUACCGUGAGGGAAAGGCGAAAAGAACCCCGGCGAGGGGAGUGAAAAAGAACCUGAAACCGUGUACGUACAAGCAGUGGGAGCACGCUUAGGCGUGUGACUGCGUACCUUUUGUAUAAUGGGUCAGCGACUUAUAUUCUGUAGCAAGGUUAACCGAAUAGGGGAGCCGAAGGGAAACCGAGUCUUAACUGGGCGUUAAGUUGCAGGGUAUAGACCCGAAACCCGGUGAUCUAGCCAUGGGCAGGUUGAAGGUUGGGUAACACUAACUGGAGGACCGAACCGACUAAUGUUGAAAAAUUAGCGGAUGACUUGUGGCUGGGGGUGAAAGGCCAAUCAAACCGGGAGAUAGCUGGUUCUCCCCGAAAGCUAUUUAGGUAGCGCCUCGUGAAUUCAUCUCCGGGGGUAGAGCACUGUUUCGGCAAGGGGGUCAUCCCGACUUACCAACCCGAUGCAAACUGCGAAUACCGGAGAAUGUUAUCACGGGAGACACACGGCGGGUGCUAACGUCCGUCGUGAAGAGGGAAACAACCCAGACCGCCAGCUAAGGUCCCAAAGUCAUGGUUAAGUGGGAAACGAUGUGGGAAGGCCCAGACAGCCAGGAUGUUGGCUUAGAAGCAGCCAUCAUUUAAAGAAAGCGUAAUAGCUCACUGGUCGAGUCGGCCUGCGCGGAAGAUGUAACGGGGCUAAACCAUGCACCGAAGCUGCGGCAGCGACGCUUAUGCGUUGUUGGGUAGGGGAGCGUUCUGUAAGCCUGUGAAGGUGUGCUGUGAGGCAUGCUGGAGGUAUCAGAAGUGCGAAUGCUGACAUAAGUAACGAUAAAGCGGGUGAAAAGCCCGCUCGCCGGAAGACCAAGGGUUCCUGUCCAACGUUAAUCGGGGCAGGGUGAGUCGACCCCUAAGGCGA